rnacentral:rRNA from 1 species
AGCGAACGCUGGCGGCAGGCCUAACACAUGCAAGUCGAACGAACCUUUCGGGGUUAGUGGCGGACGGGUGAGUAACACGUGGGAACGUGCCUUUAGGUUCGGAAUAACUCAGGGAAACUUGUGCUAAUACCGAAUGUGCCCUUCGGGGGAAAGAUUUAUCGCCUUUAGAGCGGCCCGCGUCUGAUUAGCUAGUUGGUGAGGUAAUGGCUCACCAAGGCGACGAUCAGUAGCUGGUCUGAGAGGAUGAUCAGCCACAUUGGGACUGAGACACGGCCCAAACUCCUACGGGAGGCAGCAGUGGGGAAUCUUGCGCAAUGGGCGAAAGCCUGACGCAGCCAUGCCGCGUGAAUGAUGAAGGUCUUAGGAUUGUAAAAUUCUUUCACCGGGGACGAUAAUGACGGUACCCGGAGAAGAAGCCCCGGCUAACUUCGUG